ACAUAGUUGUCUACUAUAGAAUUUGCUGAUAUACUGAACUGAAGCAUAGACCGAGAUUAACGACACGGUAAAUUAUUCACUGAAUGUAUCCUCAAUGAGGAAAUAGGGAAGGGUAUGGGGGUAUAACGACACGGUAAAUUAACCCCGGUCUCCUAACAUCCCUACCUCAACAGUUUCACACUUUCAUUCGUGAAAAAAGUAAUAAAACAUAAAGAUUGAAGUUUGUUAAUCGGUUUACCGUUUACCCGAAUUUCCACUAGAGUGCAGUCUUGCUUCCUUAUCUAAACAAAGGCUACACUCCACCACCAGUUUGCAGGGCGGUUUGUGAUCGCUGGCUCCGAUAUGGACAGGGGGUAAGAUUUAGGGUUGAAUGGAUUUUGGAUUUUGGUUUUUCAACUGCACGCAAGAGAAUUUCUAAAACAAAAUUUGUUUUAAUGAUUGUCGCCUGCUGGUGGGCUAUGGAAAUGGGUUGUUG
rnacentral:lncRNA from 1 species